rnacentral:rRNA from 1 species
UACGUAGGUCCCAAGCGUUAUCCGGAAUUACUGGGCGUAAAGGGCACGUAGGCGGCUUGAUCAGUCAGGUGUGAAAUCCCUGGGCUCAACCUGGGAAUGGCAUUUGAUACUGUUGAGCUAGAGUCUGGUAGAGGGAGGUGGAAUUCCAGGUGUAGCGGUGAAAUGCGUAGAGAUCUGGAGGAACACCGGUGGCGAAGGCGGCCUCCUGGGCCAAGACUGACGCUGAGGUGCGAAAGCGUGGGGAGCAAACAGG